GAUGAACGCUGGCGGCGUGCCUAAUACAUGCAAGUCGAGCGAACAGACGAGGAGCUUGCUCCUCUGACGUUAGCGGCGGACGGGUGAGUAACACGUGGAUAACCUACCUAUAAGACUGGGAUAACUUCGGGAAACCGGAUCUAAUACCGGAUAAUAUAUUGAACCGCAUGGUUCAAUAGUGAAAGACGGUUUUGCUGUCACUUAUAGAUGGAUCCGCGCCGCAUUAGCUAGUUGGUAAGGUAACGGCUUACCAAGGCUACGAUGCGUAGCCGACCUGAGAGGGGGAUGGGCAAAACAGAAAAUGAGAAACGGUACAGAAACCAAGGGGAGGCAGAAGUAGGGAAUCGUCCGAAAUGGGCGAAAGCCUGAAGGAGAAACGCAGCGUGAGUGAUGAAGGUCUUCGGAUCGUAAAACUCUGUUAUUAGGGAAGAACAAAUGUGUAAGUAACUAUGCACGUAUUGACGGUACCUAAUCAGAAAGCCACGGCUAACUACGU
rnacentral:rRNA from 1 species